GCGGAGGGCUGGAUGGCCGCUUUGGCAGGGGCAACCCUGCCGGGGAGGAAAGUCCGGACUCCACAAGGCAACGGUGCCGGGUAACGCCCGGCCGGAGCAAUCCGAGGGAAAGCGCCACAGAAAACAGACCGUGCCCGUUUAUCGGGCGUAAGGGUGAAACGGUGGGGUAAGAGCCCACCGCGGGGCUGGCAACAGCACCGGCACGGCAAGCCCCACCGGGAGCAAUGCCAAAUAGGGACCGCGCGCGGGGCAGGUCGGGUUUCCCGAUACCGCCCGCAGGCACGUCUUGGCCCGGCGGUCCGGGUUGGCAGCCAAAGGGGCGGUGGCAACAUCGUCUUCAGAUGAAUGGUCAUCCAGGGGGCGGGUCUUGGCCCGUCUCUGGACAGAAUCCGGCUUACAGGCCCUCCGCGCAU
rnacentral:RNase_P_RNA from 1 species